rnacentral:rRNA from 1 species
CACGGUGGAUGCCUUGACACUAGGAGUCGAUGAAGGACGGGACUAACGCCGAUAUGCUUCGGGGAGCUGUAAGUAAGCUUUGAUCCGAAGAUUUCCGAAUGGGGAAACCCACUAUACGUAAUGGUAUGGUAUCCUUACCUGAAUACAUAGGGUAUGGAAGACAGACCCAGGGAACUGAAACAUCUAAGUACCUGGAGGAAGAGAAAGCAAAUGCGAUUUCCUGAGUAGCGGCGAGCGAAACGGAAUCUAGCCCAAACCAAGAGGCUUGCCUCUUGGGGUUGUAGGACAUUCUAUACGGAGUUACAAAGGAACGAGGUAGACGAAGCGACCUGGAAAGGUCCGUCACAGAGGGUAAUAACCCCGUAGUCGAAACUUCGUUCUCUCUUGAAUGUAUCCUGAGUACGGCGGAACACGUGAAAUUCCGUCGGAAUCUGGGAGGACCAUCUCCCAAGGCUAAAUACUCCCUAGUGAUCGAUAGUGAACCAGUACCGUGAGGGAAAGGUGAAAAGCACCCCGGAAGGGGAGUGAAAGAGAUCCUGAAACCGUGUGCCUACAAAUAGUCAGAGCCCGUUAAUGGGUGAUGGCGUGCCUUUUGUAGAAUGAACCGGCGAGUUACGAUCCCGUGCGAGGUUAAGCUGAAGAGGCGGAGCCGCAGCGAAAGCGAGUCUGAAUAGGGCGUUUAGUACGUGGUCGUAGACCCGAAACCAGGUGAUCUACCCAUGUCCAGGGUGAAGUUCAGGUAACACUGAAUGGAGGCCCGAACCCACGCACGUUGAAAAGUGCGGGGAUGAGGUGUGGGUAGCGGAGAAAUUCCAAUCGAACCUGGAGAUAGCUGGUUCUCCCCGAAAUAGCUUUAGGGCUAGCCUUAAGUGUAAGAGUCUUGGAGGUAGAGCACUGAUUGAACUAGGGGUCCUCAUCGGAUUACCGAAUUCAGUCAAACUCCGAAUGCCAAUGACUUAUCCUUAGGAGUCAGACUGCGAGUGAUAAGAUCCGUAGUCAAGAGGGAAACAGCCCAGAUCGCCAGCUAAGGUCCCAAAGUGUGUAUUAAGUGGAAAAGGAUGUGGAGUUGCUUAGACAACUAGGAUGUUGGCUCAGAAGCAGCCACCAUUUAAAGAGUGCGUAAUAGCUCACUAGUCGAGUGACUCUGCGCCGAAAAUGUACCGGGGCUAAAUACACCACCGAAGCUGCGAAUUGAUACCAAUGGUAUCAGUGGUAGGGGAGCGUUCUAAGUGCAGUGAAGUCAGACCGGAAGGACUGGUGGAGCGCUUAGAAGUGAGAAUGCCGGUAUGAGUAGCGAAAGACGGGUGAGAAUCCCGUCCACCGAAUGCCUAAGGUUUCCUGAGGAAGGCUCGUCCGCUCAGGGUUAGUCAGGACCUAAGCCGAGGCCGACAGGCGUAGGCGAUGGACAACAGGUUGAUAUUCCUGUACCACCUCUUUAUCGUUUGAGCAAUGGAGGGACGCAGAAGGAUAGAAGAAGCGUGCGAUUGGUUGUGCACGUCCAAGCAGUUAGGCUGAUAAGUAGGCAAAUCCGCUUAUCGUGAAGGCUGAGCUGUGAUGGGGAAGCUCCUUAUGGAGCGAAGUCUUUGAUUCCCCGCUGCCAAGAAAAGCUUCUAGCGAGAUAAAAGGUGCCUGUACCGCAAACCGACACAGGUAGGCGAGGAGAGAAUCCUAAGGUGUGCGAGAGAACUCUGGUUAAGGAACUCGGCAAAAUGACCCCGUAACUUCGGGAGAAGGGGUGCUUUCUUAACGGAAAGCCGCAGUGAAUAGGCCCAAGCGACUGUUUAGCAAAAACACAGGUCUCUGCGAAGCCGUAAGGCGAAGUAUAGGGGCUGACACCUGCCCGGUGCUGGAAGGUUAAGGAGAGGGGUUAGCGUAAGCGAAGCUCUGAACUGAAGCCCCAGUAAACGGCGGCCGUAACUAUAACGGUCCUAAGGUAGCGAAAUUCCUUGUCGGGUAAGUUCCGACCCGCACGAAAGGUGUAACGAUUUGGGCACUGUCUCAACCAGAGACUCGGUGAAAUUAUAGUACCUGUGAAGAUGCAGGUUACCCGCGACAGGACGGAAAGACCCCGUGGAGCUUUACUGUAGCCUGAUAUUGAAUUUUGGUACAGUUUGUACAGGAUAGGCGGGAGCCAUUGAAACCGGAGCGCUAGCUUCGGUGGAGGCGCUGGUGGGAUACCGCCCUGACUGUAUUGAAAUUCUAACCUACGGGUCUCAUCGACCCGGGAGACAGUGUCAGGUGGGCAGUUUGACUGGGGCGGUCGCCUCCUAAAGUGUAACGGAGGCGCCCAAAGGUUCCCUCAGAAUGGUUGGAAAUCAUUCGUAGAGUG